rnacentral:rRNA from 1 species
GACGUAGGCAGCAAGCGUUGUUCGGAGUUACUGGGCGUAAAGGGUGUGUAGGCGGUUUUUUAAGUUUGGUGUGAAAUCUCCCGGCUCAACUGGGAGGGUGCGCCGAAUACUGAAAGACUAGAGUGCGGGAGAGGAAAGUGGAAUUCCUGGUGUAGCGGUGAAAUGCGUAGAUAUCAGGAGGAACACCGGUGGUGUAGACGGCUUUCUGGACGGCGACUGACGCUGAGACACGAAAGCGUGGGUAGCAAACAGG